GAUGAACGCUGGCGGCGUGCCUAACACAUGCAAGUCUAGCGAACGGACGAGAAGCUUGCUUCUCUGAUGUUUGCGGCGGACGGGAGAGUAACACCUGGUUAACCUACCUAUAAGACUCGGAUAAUUUUGGGAAACCGGAUCUAUUUCGGGCAUCCUUUUUGAACGGCAUGUUUCAAAACUGAAAGACGGCUUUGCUUCCCCUUAGCUAUGUAUCGGCGUUGCAUUAGCUAGUUGGUAAGGUAACGGCUUACCAAGGCAACGUUGCAUAGCCGACCGGAGAGGAUGGUCGGCCACACUGGAAGUGAGACACGCUCCAGGGUCCUACGGGAGGCAGCAGUAGGGAAUCUUCCGGAAUGGGCGGAAGCCUGACGGAGCAACGCCGAGUGAGUGAUGAAGGUCUUCGGAUCGUAAAACUCUGUUAUUAGGGAAGAACAGAUGUGUAAGUAACUGUGCACAUCUUGACGGUACCUAAUCAAAAAGCCACGGCUAACUACGUG
rnacentral:rRNA from 1 species